GAUGAACGCUGGCGGCGUGCCUAAUACAUGCAAGUCGAGCGAAUGGAUUAAGAGCUUGCUCUUAUGAAGUUAGCGGCGGACGGGUGAGUAACACGUGAGUAACCUGCCCAUAAGACUGGGAUAACUCCGGGAAACCGGGGCUAAUACCGGAUAACAUUUUGAACCGCAUGGUUCGAAAUCGAAAGGCGGCUUCGGCUGUCACUUAUGGAUGGACCCGCGUGGCAUUAGCUAGUUGGUGAGGUAACGGCUCACCAAGGCAACGAUGCGUAGCCGACCUGAGAGGGUGAUCGGCCACACUGGGACUGAGACACGGCCCAGACUCCUACGGGAGGCAGCAGUAGGGAAUCUUCCGCAAUGGACGAAAGUCUGACGGAGCAACGCCGCGUGAGUGAUGAAGGCUUUCGGGUCGUAAAACUCUGUUGUUAGGGAAGAACAAGUGCUAGUUGAAUAAGCUGGCACCUUGACGGUACCUAACCAGAAAGCCACGGCUAACUACGUGCCAGCAGCCGCGGUAA
rnacentral:rRNA from 1 species